rnacentral:rRNA from 1 species
GAGCGGAUGAGGGGAGCUUGCUCCUGGAUUCAGCGGCGGACGGGUGAGUAAUGCCUAGGAAUCUGCCUGGUAGUGGGGGACAACGUUUCGAAAGGAACGCUAAUACCGCAUACGUCCUACGGGAGAAAGCAGGGGACCUUCGGGCCUUGCGCUAUCAGAUGAGCCUAGGUCGGAUUAGCUAGUUGGUGAGGUAAUGGCUCACCAAGGCGACGAUCCGUAACUGGUCUGCAGAGGAUGAUCAGUCACACUGGAACUGAGACACGGUCCAGACUCCUACGGGAGGCAGCAGUGGGGAAUAUUGGACAAUGGGCGAAAGCCUGAUCCAGCCAUGCCGCGUGUGUGAAGAAGGUCUUCGGAUUGUAAAGCACUUUAAGUUGGGAGGAAGGGUUGUAGAUUAAUACUCUGCAAUUUUGACGUUACCGACAGAAUAAGCACCGGCUAACUCUGUG